UACGUAGGGUGCAAGCGUUGUCCGGAAUUAUUGGGCGUAAAGAGCUCGUAGGCGGUUCGUCGCGUCGGGAGUGAAAUCCACUGGCUUAACUGGUGGCUUGCUUUCGAUACGGGCAGACUGGAGGUAUGCAGGGGAGAACGGAAUUCCUGGUGUAGCGGUGAAAUGCUUAGAUAUGACAUAGAACACCAAUUGCGAAGGCAGCUGGCUACAGGGAUAUUGACACUGAGGCACGAAAGCGUGGGGAUCAAACAGG
rnacentral:rRNA from 1 species